rnacentral:rRNA from 1 species
UAGGGAAUCUUCCGCAAUGGACGCAAGUCUGACGGAGCAACGCCGCGUGAGUGAAGAAGGAUUUCGGUUCGUAAAACUCUGUUGUUAGAGAAGAACAGCGCAUAGAGUAACUGUUAUGCGUGUGACGGUAUCUAAUCAGAAAGCCACGGCUAACUACGUGCCAGCAGCCGCGGUAAUACGUAGGUGGCAAGCGUUAUCCGGAAUUAUUGGGCGUAAAGCGCGCGUAGGCGGUUAGAUAAGUCUGAAGUUAAAGGCAGUGGCUCAACCAUUGUAGGCUUUGGAAACUGUUUAACUUGAGUGCAGAAGGGGAGAGUGGAAUUCCAUGUGUAGCGGUGAAAUGCGUAGAUAUAUGGAGGAACACCGGUGGCGAAAGCGGCUCUCUGGUCUGUAACUGACGCUGAGGCUCGAAAGCGUGGGGAGCGAACAGG